CAACUACUCCCUCUGUCCCAAAUUUCUUGUCUUAGAUUUGUCUAGAUACGGAUGUAUCUAAUACUAAAAUGUGACUUGAUACAUCCGUAUCUAGACAAAUCUAAGACAAGAAUUUUGGAACGGAGGAAGUACUUU
rnacentral:pre_miRNA from 1 species